rnacentral:ncRNA from 1 species
UUUAAAAAAAAAUUAGAGAUAAUGAAAACUUAGUUUUCAUUGAUUAUAUUAAACAGUUUAAAUUUAGCUUAAAGUUUUAUUAUAACUUUAAAGUUUUAUCUGAUUUUUAGAUAGAAUAAAGGAGGCCUAAGAUUUAUAUAUUAAAAAAUUUAUAAAUAGAUUAAAGUUUAUUAUACUGGCGAAAGACGUGCCAGCCGCCGCGGUUAGACGAGAAGUAUUAAAUAAAGUUUGUAAUUAGGAGGGGGAAAAUAAAAUUUUAUAAGUAGAUUUAUUUUUAGGUGAAAUUAAAAAUAAUAAUAAUUAUACUCUUGUUUCCUCUAAAAAUUUAGGAGAAAAACAAGGAUUAGAUACCCUUUUAUUCUAAGUUAAAAAUUCUUAAGGAGUAAACUAAGUAUGAAAAUUAAAAAUUUUGGCGGUGUUUUAACUUUAUAGAGGAACUUGCCCUGUUAUUGAUAAUCCCCAAAUAAUCUUACUUUAGUCAACAUUCAUAUACCGUUGUUGUUUCAGAUUACUUUAAUAAAAAUUUUGAGUUUUCUAAUAAGUUUUGAUUAAGCUUUUACUUCAAAUCAAGGUGUGGUUUAUAUUAAAGGUUGAGGUGAGUUACAUUAAGUAGAAUUUUAGAAUUUUAUAAGAAAUUAUAUUUUGAAAUUGGAUUUGUUAGUAAGUUUAAAUUAAUAAGUUAUUCUGAAUUAGGCUCUAGAACAUGCACAUAUCGCCCGUCGCUCUGAUAUUUAAAAUUAGAUAAGUCGUAACAAAGUAGAUUUAAGGGAACUUGAAUCUAGAAAG